rnacentral:lncRNA from 1 species
GGGGAACAGACGCCACCAAAGCACACUUUCCCUUUUGACUUGGGAGUAUUUCAAGCACACAGAAGGGGAACGUGGAGCCACGCAGGUGUAGGGUUCUCUCUCGGGAGAGUGAAGAUGGGAACUCUAGUUUGAAGGUGUUCUCUGAACUUACUCCUUCUGCUUUAGCCACAAAGACCUGACUGUCAGGCUCAGACUGAGUUUCUGCAGCUCUGUCACCUCUUCCACUAAAGGGAUUCCAGACACUGAAGAGCUGGCAGACAUGACAUUGACAGCUAUAGUUCAGACACUAGAGCAACCAACCCGUCUUUUGAAAAGCUCAGGGAGACUGAGUGCAAAGAGAAGCGAGAAUAAAGAAUAAGCUAACUGGAAGGAAGACCGAGCCUGUGGGACCCCAGGCUUAGCAUCCUGUUCUCGUGGAGUGCACAUUUCUGCUUUGAGUCUCUUCACACCAGUGAGAGGAUGCUGGACCUCAUCUCAAGAAUUUGCCCUGUCAUUUGGAAACUGGAAUUAAAUCAGGCUUGAUCCAGGUAUAAUAUCUGAGACCAUGCACUCCCUACAUCAUAUUUAAGGGGAAAAGAAAACCUUGUUUCUCUUAGAUUUAGAUAAACUACUACAAUAUAAGGAGUUAAGGAAGGCAAUAAGAAUAGAGGAGGCAUGAACACACAAGAACUUGGGAAGAGAGGAAUGUGAGCUGUGAAAAACCAAGCAGAAGUGUUUCCAUCUCAAUGGCACUAUGAGCUGGAGAAGUCAUAGGAAACCAAAGCACUCAAGAGGAGACACAGCUAUCAAGAACUCCUGUCCACCGGGCAUUGGUGGAAGGAGAUGAAGCCAUUUUUACCAACCUGAACCUUUUUUCCGUGGGGCACUAUACAGCUUAACCUAUGAACUCUGUCGAGCCGUUGAGGGCUCCUAAACAAUUUCUUAGCACGGAGUUCCUCUUUUCAGCAAACCCUGCUUCUCACUGAGUACAGAGUCGAAGCAAUCCUACAGCACUAACAUUUCAAUUGUUGCAUAUGGAGCCCAGUACAUAAAGGACUCCCCAAAGAGAGCGGUUUAUAACUGGAUUAUAGCUGCUCCACACAUUUAACUUUCCAUGAAUAGUUUCUGACGUUUUGAAGCACCCCAAGUCAUAACUUUUCUAUCCACGCAUGUAGGAAAGCAGUCACUGAUUGUGCGUUUCUUCAUUGACCAGAAUACAAACAUGGAUGAGACUGUUAGCACCCAUGGUAUCUGAGGGAGAACUUACAGAAUUUGUUUACCUAUGUUAUAUAUAAGACAAUAGAUUGUAUAUACAAAUAUAGAAAACAUUUCACUUGUUUGUAUGUGCACUAUAUGUAUUUUGAGUGCAGAUCAAGUAUGUAAUGGUCCCACUUAUUAUUAGUUUCAUUUUUUUACAAUUUCAUAACUGUGGCCUAAAAAUAGUAGGUGGAAAAUUUUAGAAGCAAUCCACACAUAUGUGUUAAAUUACACGACAUUUUGAGUACCGGGAUAAAUUCUCAUUCUGUAUUGCUUCUUCUUGCCCAAAAUAUAACUCAUUUCUCUGGUCAGUGCAUCUGCUCUGUAUAUCUUGCCUGCUACCUCCAUGAUCAGAACCAUUUAGGAACAGUGUAGGGUCUGUAUUCAAAUCAACCUGUUAUGCUUAGCAGUGUCUCAGUCAUGAUACUGAAAACUGAAUAUGUUAGAGAAAAAUUGGCUAGUGUCUUCUUCAAGUGAAAUGUAAAGGUCUCCACUUGAGGGGGGUUUUAUAGAGCUAUCAUGUUGUUAAAUCAUAUACUAGGCAUGUUUUAUAAAUUAACCUAUGUUAUAGAUAUGUAUGUACAAGAGAAAAGCAUGGUGCAUAUAGGGGCUGGUAUUAUUUGUGAUUUCUGAUAUUCACUGUAUUCUUGGAACACAGAAUUGUAUACCAUUGGCUUUCCCCAACCCUAAUGUUGUAUGUUUAAUGGAGACUUUGUUCUGUGACUAUUAAUCAAGUUCUGAACUCUACCAAGGAAGCACACACUUAUAUACACUUUCCUUACUAAGAAAAUGUUUCUCAUUUGUUCAAUCCAUUUACAGAUGGAGCUUCAUGGUAUGGGUAUCUGUGGUGUGGCCAAAGAAAAAUAAGGCAAGAAGAGGGAGAAAGAGGUUCUGGUUUAUUAUGGGUGCUAUAAGUAGAUGCCCAAAAUUCCCAAUGGAAAAAAUGCCCCCAGGCACACCACUCAUGGCGACUUCCAAAGUUUGUUCUCAGUAACUGCAUUCACACAAUACAUAAUUUUAACAGAUCCAUUUAUGGCUUUGAAAUGUGAAGUGUCCAAUGAAGAGAAGAAAUACUUAAAAGAGGAAAACUGGAAAAUAUUAAGAGCUGGACGGAGUUACUGAAAAACAGCCAGGUAGUGUGACUUUAGUUAAUAUAAAGGGCAAAUGUCUGGCCAUCUUUCAGUAUUUGCAAGAGCUCUACUCAUUAAGAUGUAUAAGGAUGGUUUUGAAUCAUUAGGAAAAGGUGAAGUUAUGUGUCUAUCUUAGCAUAUUCUGGGAAAAAAAUUAAAACAGUUCCAUUUAGAUUGAGUUCCAUCAAAAUCAUUAAAGUUAGUAAGAGUGAAUCCUCAAGUUUUUAAGGCAUGCAAAUUUCCUUCUCUUUCCCUCUUUCUCCCUCCCUCUCUUUCUCCUCUCUCAUCUUUGCUCUAUCCUGUCUUCUUUCUCAUUCCUGCCCCACCACAUGCAUAUUGCAUUUGUGCAUAAUACUUAUUUAGUGUUUGGUUUUGAUGUUACUGGCGAGGUGGACUUAUAUUUAAGGAAACACUGUUGCAGAACAAUUUAAGUACUUGGAAAUGAUCUUACAUUUUCAUUUCUCAUAUAGAAAAAAUAUGCUAGUAUAUAUUCAUUAUUCAUUUAAGUUCGGUCAACUCUCAAUUAUCUCUGGUAAUAGAGAGUAGGGAUAAAAUGAGCAGGUGAAAUCUAUUUCUAGUCCCCAAAUACAACUUGCAGUCUCUUCCUCCUUCCUUCUUCACUAGAAGCAGAGCUAUGUCUCUUUCCUUUUGUUUGUGGACUCCUUUCAACUGUUGAAUGACCUUAAGAAAAACAACCCAAGGUAGGGGGAAAAAACCCAAACACAAGGAUGAUCUCAAAUCCUUUCUAAAAUUAAGACAGCAAACAUAAUCUAUAAGAGCUAAUUUUUAAAAAGCUGGGCUGCUUUUUCAAACAUUGUGUCUGAAACAGUGUGUCACUACCAGAGAAGAGUAGAACGCCCUUCAUUAAAUGAUGCUAUUUUUGAAAGGCAUUCAUCCAUUUAGGAGACAGUUUCUUCUCAUUGCAAAUGUGUUUUAACUUUCAGAAUAGCAGUUGGAUGUUUAAACAUAAUAGCUUUAUAUAUUUUAUAAUUUACAGAGGAGGACAAAUAAGCACUGGCUUAAUAAAAUCAUUAACUAUAGAAUUAAGAACAUUUCAAGCAUGACCUCCAGACAGCUAGCAUCAGGCUAGGUUUCCUAGCUGUUCCCUAACUAGCAAUA